rnacentral:rRNA from 1 species
AUUGAACGCUGGCGGAAUGCUUUACACAUGCAAGUCGAACGGCAGCACGGACUUCGGUCUGGUGGCGAGUGGCGAACGGGUGAGUAAUGUAUCGGAACGUGCCCAGUCGUGGGGGAUAACGUAGUGAAAAUUACGCUAAUACCGCAUACGAUCCAUGGAUGAAAGCGGGGGAUCGCAAGACCUCGCGCGAUUGGAGCGGCCGAUAUCAGAUUAGGUAGUUGGUGGGGUAAAGGCCCACCAAGCCAACGAUCUGUAGCUGGUCUGAGAGGACGACCAGCCACACUGGAACUGAGACACGGUCCAGACUCCUACGGGAGGCAGCAGUGGGGAAUUUUGGACAAUGGGCGAAAGCCUGAUCCAGCCAUUCCGCGUGCAGGAUGAAGGCCCUCGGGUUGUAAACUGCUUUUGUACAGAACGAAAAGGUUUCUACUAAUACUAGGAGCUCAUGGCGGUACUGUAAGAAUAAGCACCGGCUAACUACGUGCCAGCCGCCGCAGUAA